GACGAACGCUGGCGGCGUGCUUAACACAUGCAAGUCGAACGGUGAAGCGCCUUCCUUUUUGGUGGGUGUGGAUGAGUGGCGAACGGGUGAGUAACACGUGAGUAACCUGCCCCCUUCUUCUGGAUAACCGCAUGAAAGUGUGGCUAAUACGGGAUAUUCUGGGUCUGUCGCAUGAUGGGUCUGGGAAAGAUAUUGUUUCGGUGGGGGAUGGGCUCGCGGCCUAUCAGCUUGUUGGUGGGGUGAUGGCCUACCAAGGCGGUGACGGGUAGCCGGCCUGAGAGGGUGGGCGGUCCCACUAGGAAUGAAGCGCGGCCCAGACUCCUACGGGAGGCAGCAGUGAGGAAUAUUGCACAAUGGGCGGAAGCCUGAUGCAGCGACGCCGCGGGAGGGAUGGAGGCCUUCGGGUUGUGAACCUCUUUCGCCAGUGAAGCAGGCCUGCCUCGUUUGUGGGUGGGUUGACGGUAGCUGGAUAAGAAGCGCCGGCUAACUACGUG
rnacentral:rRNA from 1 species